GUGGGGCAUAGCAAUAGUAGUAUGACCUCAGGAAUAACAAGUGUGUAUAUACACUAGAUUCAUACAAUGUUGAUCUGAGGUGCUUAUAACCCUGUAACACAUUUUAGUUGUUGCUGUGUAAUUACCAUUGAGGCAAUGACAUUUCAGAUUUUUGUUUUAAGCCAUCUAUUUGAUAUACUAGUAAUAAUUGCCUCUGUGUUAGGACGACCCAUUGUUAAU
rnacentral:lncRNA from 1 species